ensembl:snoRNA Gm25631 predicted gene, 25631
CCUGUCCCUAGAGUUUGCAGAUGUGGCUGCUGUGUCCCACAUAAACCAGAAGGUGGCAGAGAGGAGAGAGGCUGUGCUGAUGCUCAGUGUUCUGACCUAGGAACAUUUAAAUGAUAAGUAGCCUAACAUU